rnacentral:rRNA from 1 species
UACGUAGGGGGCUAGCGUUGUCCGGAAUCAUUGGGCGUAAAGAGCGUGUAGGCGGUCCGGUAAGUCCGCUGUGAAAGUCGGGGGCUCAACCCUCGAAUGCCGGUGGAUACUGUCGGGCUAGAGUGCGGAAGAGGCGAGUGGAAUUCCUGGUGUAGCGGUGAAAUGCGCAGAUAUCAGGGGGAACACCUAUUGCGAAGGCAGCUCGCUGGGACGUUACUGACGCUGAGACGCGAAAGCGUGGGGAGCAAACAGG